rnacentral:snRNA from 1 species
CAAGCAGCUUUACAGAUCAAUGGCGGAGGGAGGUCAACAUCAAGAACUGUGGGCCUUUUAUUGCCUAUAGAACUUAUAACGAACAUGGUUCUUGCCUUUUACCAGAACCAUCCGGGUGUUGUCUCCAUAGAAACAGGUAAAGCUGUCCGUUACUGUGGGCUUGCCAUAUUUUUUGGAACUUUUCUGCCCUUUUUCUCAAUGAGUAAGGAGGGCGU